rnacentral:rRNA from 1 species
GUAGGGAAUAUUGGGCAAUGGAUGCAAGUCUGACCCAGCCAUCCCGCGUGCCGGAAGAAGGCCCUCAGGGUUGUAAACGGCUUUUGACGGUGAAGAAUCGACAGGAUGCGUCCUGUUUUGACGGUAGCCGUUGAAUAAGCACCGGCUAACUCCGUGCCAGCAGCCGCGGUAAUACGGAGGGUGCGAGCGUUGUCCGGAUUUAUUGGGUUUAAAGGGUGCGUAGGCUGGAAGGUCAGUCAGCGGUGAAAAGCUGUCGCUUAACGAUAGUCUUGCCGCAGAUACUUCCUUUCUUGGAUGAGGAGGAGGCCACUGGAACGGAUGGUGUAGCGGUGAAAUGCAUAGAUAUCAUCCAGAACACCGAUUGCGAAGGCAGGUGGCUGUACCUUAAUCGACGCUGAUGCACGAAAGCAUGGGGAGCGAACAGGAUUAGAAACCCCUGUAGUCC